rnacentral:rRNA from 1 species
GAUGAACGCUGGCGGCGUGCCUAAUACAUGCAAGUCGAGCGAACGGACGAGAAGCUUGCUUCUCUGAUGUUAGCGGCGGACGGGUGAGUAACACGUGGAUAACCUACCUAUAAGACUGGGAUAACUUCGGGAAACCGGAGCUAAUACCGGAUAAUAUUUUGAACCGCAUGGUUCAAAAGUGAAAGACGGUCUUGCUGUCACUUAUAGAUGGAUCCGCGCUGCAUUAGCUAGUUGGUAAGGUAACGGCUUACCAAGGCAACGAUGCAUAGCCGACCUGAGAGGGGGAUCGGCCACACUGGAACUGGGACACGGUCCAGACUCCUGCGGGAGGCAGCAGUAGGGAAUCUUCCGCAAUGGGCGAAAGCCUGACGGAGCAACGCCGCGUGAGUGAUGAAGGUCUUCGGAUCGUAAAACUCUGUUAUUAGGGAAGAACAUAUGUGUAAGUAACUGUGCACAUCUUGACGGUACCUAAUCAGAAAGCCACGGCUAACUACGUG